GCGUCGGUUUAGCUCAGUGGUUACAUCUGGUUAUGUGUUUGCCUUCCCUCGGGCGCUGUCCGAUGCAUUU
ensembl:vault_RNA Vault Vault RNA